rnacentral:rRNA from 1 species
CCUACGGGUGGCAGCAGUGAGGAAUAUUGGUCAAUGGACGAAAGUCUGAACCAGCCAAGUAGCGUGAAGGAUGACUGCCCUAUGGUUUGUAAGCUUCUUUUAUAUGGGAGUAAAAUGUUCCUCUAUUGGGAUUUUGUAUGUACCAUAUGAAUAAGGAUCGGCUAAAUCAGUGCCGGCAGCGGCGGUAAUACGGAGGAUCCGAUGGUUAUCUGGAUUGAUUGGGUUUAACGGGAACGUAGGUGGAUUGUUAAGUCAGUUGUGAAAGUUUGCGGCUUAACCGUCAAAUUGCAGUUGACACUGGCAGUCUUGAGUACAGUAGAGAGGGGCGGAAUUCGUGGUGUAGCGGUGAAAUGCUUAGAUAUCACGAAGAAUUCCGAGUGCGAAGGCAGCUCACUGGACUGCAACUGACACUGAGGCUCGAAAGUGUGGGUAUCAAACAGGAUUAGAUACCCUAGUAGUC